GUCCUGAUUCGCUUGGUCCGCCUGCGGGCCCGCCCUCUCACCACCCUGUCAUCCAGUCGUGGCUCGGGACUGCUGACGGACUCCUCCCCUUCACCUGAGACCUGAUUUUGAGCUGCUUUUCACACACACACACACACAGAGGAGAUUUUUGUUAGCAAGUUCAUGGUCAGAACACGCCUUCAUAUUUCCAAACAAGAUAAGCCCGCUUUUCCUUCAAACACACACACACAGCUGUCACCUUCUCUCAGAUUUGCGUUGGGCUGCAGAUCAUGUGACAACAGGAUGCUCCCGUCGCCGUGGUAAUGUGACUGACAGUACAGGCUCUGGCCCUCCAUGCAGUACAGGUUCCCUGGUAUCAGUUUCACAUCACACUCCUGCAAAACGUACUUGUUAUCAUGAACGAUAAGACAGAAAAACACAAAUGCAGUCUGGCCUCUGCCACCCUGGCUUAACUCCUGGUUCAUCCAAACAAAUAUGAGUUAUACAAAAGCUAACCUCUGUACAGUUUAUGGCGACUGACUCGCCUUUGGAGCCAGCCUCAAGUGGCCAUCUGAGGAAGUGCAGUUUUUAGCUCUUGGUGUCACUUUUCAGCCCCCGAGGCUGAUGCUCGGACAAAAUUUAAUUAAUCAAGAGGGAAAUUAUUGUGCAGCAGUUUGCUUCAUAAAGUAGGAAAGAGUGUAAAUACACCAAUAAACACACACAGUACACAUGCUAUUGCACAUUAUGUCAGAACAUUAUAAAGACUUUGAUCCUAAUUAUUUAUUUAUCUAUUUUUUAACAAAAUGUUCACCUGGCAGGAGAAGCAGUGAGGAUGGAAGGUCAGCUCACCAGACCUCAUGACCAAAGCAGAAGCUGGGAUUGGCUGGAAGCAGCGAGCGCACUGACCGCCUCCAAACAGCCUGAGCAGGCAGAGAAAUCAGAAAGUCAGAAGCCAGGAGCACAAAGGUGUGAAAGGUGUGAGCUACAGGAACAGUCUGACAUGUUGGGGAGCAGAGGGAUCACCGGGACCUGCAGUAGUCUUGUUGGCAGUAGAUGUUCCCGUCUCUCCAGUAAAGUGAGGGGUGUGUCUGCAGCUCGCACUGACACUGGCUGCAGCGGAGGCAGGUGUUGUGCCACACCCUGCCCGCAGCCAACAGGAAGAAGCGGUCGCACACCUGCUCACCGCAGCCAGCACACAUCAUUGGCUCCUGGAUGGACACGGCUGUCGGAGUCUGAGACUGAUUGACAGAUUUAUUUCACAGAAACAACACUGAAGUGAAACAUCAAACAAAGGAUUUAUCUGAAGAAAGUGAAACAUCUCUCUUUACUAUGCAACACUGUCGCGGCCUCUGUCAGGGGUCAGAGGUCUCUACUGAGAGCCGACACACCCAGCAGAUUCACUUCUACUUUCAGUCAAUGGAUUUUUAGUUGUAGUGGAGUGUUUUCGGUGUGGCAUUAGUACUUUUACUUAAAUAAAUCUAAUACUUCCACCACUGUCAUGCUCACAUUGUCUGCAGCAGUGCUGUCAUCCAGCCCCGCCGGGCCGCCGCCCAGCUCCGCCCCCUCGGCUGCGUCACCAAGGUCACCGGUGUACAACAGGUCCUCGAGGGCUCGGUCGUCGGGCGACAUCAUGAUUGUCCUGAGAAGGAGGAAGACGAGGAGAUGGACAACAACUUACCGUCUUGUUGAGAGACGCCUGACUGGUUUUCAGCUUAGCGUGCUCUGUGAGAACCCUUCAGACAACGCCACCCUUUAAGAAGAACAAGAAGAAGAAAAUAAACUUUCCUUUGCUUUGUGUCUCUCUGUUUGGAGCUCUCACCUGUCCAGGUGUCUCUGCAGCCUCCUGUCUUGUGGUUUUGGGAUCAGUUUCCCCCCUCUGUGUCAGCUGACCUGAGAUCUGCUUCCACCUUCAUCCUCCACCAAUCACAGUCACAGCAUCUAGACUGAGGCUCAGCACCUGUCCCUCCCGCCUCGCCGUCUGUCCCAGGGGGCGACAUAAACAGGAAAAUAAAUCACUGUGACAUUCACAGAAAGACGGCACAGAAGGACAAACGCUGAGAGGACAGUCGGCAGCUGAACCACAACGAGUACGAACUCUCCAUCACUCACCUGCUCCUGUCCA